UCGGCCCCGGUUCACGCCCGCGCAGCAGGCGUCGGCGACCCGGAGCC
rfam:Streptomyces uncialis strain DCA2648 scaffold1, whole genome shotgun sequence.